rnacentral:rRNA from 1 species
AUGCAACAAAUUCUCGGUGCAAUCCUCUCCAAAGAAGAAGAAGGCGGCUUGUCCUACCUGUAUGUGUUGGCCGAAUGGAUCGGGGGGACAAGAAAUUUCAGGAUGAGCGUAUAUAUGUUGCAAGACGGCGUCUGGUGCAUGCAAAGCUCAGCCACAGACCAAAUCAUUCUUCCGCUAACGGCACCAAAAGCUGAGGUCGUCGGCAGCAAGAUCUAUAUGCUGUCUGCCUUCAGUGAUGAAAUUAUUGUCAUUGAUUUAGUGACCUCAAGUUUAUCUAGAAUUCCACUCCCACACAGAGUGAAGUAUCACCCUUUUAGCACCACCUUGUCUCGGGCCGAUGACGCUUCUGGUGUAUAUCUCACCCAUGUCCAUAUCAAUGAGCAUCAACUUUGCAUCUGGCUCCACAAAGGUGAUAACUGGUUGCUGGUCCAUACCAUUUGUUUGCGUGAGAUGUGUGCUAAUCUGAGGAUGCUAGAUCCCACGCUUGAGCAUAUUGGUGGUCCCUAUCUAUGCCACAUCGGGCAUAAUGCUGAGUUUGUGUUCUUGAAAAUGUGUGGUUGCAUGCUCUAUCUGGACGUCACGAGCAGGAUACUGUGUAAACUACAUGAAACAGCAUAA